rnacentral:tRNA from 1 species
GGCGAGGUGGCAAAGCGGUUAUGCAGCGGCCUGCAAAGCCGUGCAGACGGGUUCGGCCCCCAUCCUUGCCU